rnacentral:rRNA from 1 species
UACGGGGGGGGCAAGCGUUUGUUCGGAAUUACUGGGCGUAAAGGGCUCGUAGGCGGCCAACUAAGUCAGACGUGAAAUCCCUCGGCUUAACCGGGGAACUGCAUCUGAUACUGGAUGGCUUGAGUUCGGGAGAGGGAUGCGGAAUUCCAGGUGUAGCGGUGAAAUGCGUAGAUAUCUGGAGGAACACCGGUGGCGAAGGCGGCAUCCUGGACCGACACUGACGCUGAGGAGCGAAAGCCAGGGGAGCAAAGCGGGG